rnacentral:rRNA from 1 species
GAUGAACGCUGGCGGCGUGCCUAAUACAUGCAAGUCGAGCGAACAGACGAGGAGCUUGCUCCUCUGACGUUAGCGGCGGACGGGUGAGUAACACGUGGAUAACCUACCUAUAAGACUGGGAUAACUUCGGGAAACCGGAGCUAAUACCGGAUAAUAUAUUGAACCGCAUGGUUCAAUAGUGAAAGACGGUUUUGCUGUCACUUAUAGAUGGAUCCGCGCCGCAUUAGCUAGUUGGUAAGGUAACGGCUUACCAAGGCAACGAUGCGUAGCCGACCUGAGAGGGUGUUCGCCCACACUGGAACUGAGACACGGUCCAGACUCCUACGGCAGACAGCAGUAGAGAGUCUUCCGCAAUAAGCGAAAGCCUAACGUGGCAACGCCGCGAAUGUGAUGAAGGUCUACGGAUCGUAAAACCCUGUUAUUAGGGAAGAACAUAUGUGUAAGUAACUAUGCCCGUCUUGACGGUACCUACUCAAAAAACAACGGCUAACUACGU